AGAGUUUGAUCCUGGCUCAGAGUGAACGCUGGCGGCAGGCCUAACACAUGCAAGUCGAGCGGCAGCGGGUCGUAGCAAUACGAUGCCGGCGAGCGGCGGACGGGUGAGGAAUACAUCGGAAUCUACCCAGUCGUGGGGGAUAACGUAGGGAAACUUACGCUAAUACCGCAUACGACCUGAGGGUGAAAGCAGGGGAUCUUCGGACCUUGCGCAGAUGGAUGAGCCGAUGCCGGAUUAGCUAGUUGGCGGGGUAAAGGCCCACCAAGGCGACGAUCCGUAGCUGGUCUGAGAGGAUGAUCAGCCACACUGGAACUGAGACACGGUCCAGACUCCUACGGGAGGCAGCAGUGGGGAAUAUUGGACAAUGGGCGCAAGCCUGAUCCAGCCAUGCCGCGUGUGUGAAGAAGGCCUUCGGGUUGUAAAGCACUUUUGUUGGGGAAGAAAAGCAAUUGGUUAAUACCCGGUUGUCAUGACGGUACCCAAAGAAUAAGCACCGGCUAACUUCGUGCCAGCAGCCGCGGUAAUACGAAGGGUGCAAGCGUUACUCGGAAUUACUGGGCGUAAAGCGUGCGUAGGUGGUUUGUUAAGUCUGAUGUGAAAGCCCUGGGCUCAACCCUGGGAACUGCAUUGGAUACUGGCAGACUGGAGUGCGGUAGAGGGUAGCGGAAUUCCCGGUGUAGCAGUGAAAUGCGUAGAUAUCGGGAGGAACAUCUGUGGCGAAGGCGGCUACCUGGACCAGCACUGACACUGAGGCACGAAAGCGUGGGGGAGCAAACAGGAUUAGAUACCCUGGUAGUCCA
rnacentral:rRNA from 1 species